AACUUAAAGGAAGUUGACGGGGGCCCGCACAAGCGGUGGAGUAUGUGGUUUAAUUCGAUGCAACGCGAAGAACCUUACCUGGUCUUGACAUCCCGGAGACCCUUAGGAAACUAGGGGUGCUUCCAUCUGGAAGAAUCUGGAGACAGGUGCUGCAUGGCUGUCGUCAGCUCGUGUCGUGAGAUGUUGGGUUAAGUCCCGCAACGAGCGCAACCCUUGCCUUUAGUUGCCAGCAGUUCGGCUGGGCACUCUAAAGGGACUGCCGGUGUUAAACCGGAGGAAGGUGGGGAUGACGUCAAGUCCUCAUGGCCUUUAUGACCAGGGCUACACACGUGCUACAAUGGUCGGUACAAAGGGUUGCCAAGCCGCGAGGUGGAGCUAAUCCCAUAAAACCGAUCGUAGUCCGGAUCGCAGUCUGCAACUCGACUGCGUGAAGUCGGAAUCGCUAGUAAUCGUGAAUCAGAAUGUCACGGUGAAUACGUUCCCGGGCCUU
rnacentral:rRNA from 1 species